CGCCUCAGUCGAGUAGGACCCUUCAUCGCGUAAGGUGGUGCGUUUGUUCGAUUUUCUCGCGUCGGCGUAUAGGUCAUCUCUGUGUUCGGACACAUUAGAGGAGAGGUGUGCGUUUCUUAGCGUUUUAUUGGGUUGCUAACGUCGCCCGGAUUCGGGUUUUUUUUUUCGCUAUUUGUGCAAUGAGCGAAUAUUUGAUAUUAUUUCGUGUGUUGGAGUUGCGAGAUCUGUGAUAUCGGGGCUCGCAUCGAUGUGCGAUGUGGCUUAAAAUGUGAGAAUUGGUUGAAUUCUAGCAUCCAAAGUAUCCCAAUGUUUACUUUGGAUUAUAUCACGCAAUAGCGCUGACACCAGCCACAACGGCAUUGUUUUUGCUCUCUUGGGUUUGUGUGGGUGAACCUGUGCGUAUUGGGUGCUAUCCACGACGUGUCACAUCGGUUCGCUAGUCGCUAGCAGCAGCAGCAGCAGUAGAUAGUGGUGGUGUGGCGAUACAAGAGCCGAGCCUGCGCGUAUGACGAAGACGACGACUACGGUGAGAGAGUGGAUGGCAAUAGGUAUCUACCUGACAUCGGUGAGCUCUGCUGAAGUGAAGUAAGGUGAUAAUGAAAGCAAAACAAACAUAGCGAAACACACAUAGAAAAAAAGAGGCGAAAUGGAUGAGGAAAAAUAAUCACAAAGGUUAAUGCACAGUGAUUUGUCGUGUUAGUAGUGGGAUUAAAUAGAGAGCUCUAGAGACGUGGAAGAGAGGUAAACAAGUGGUGAUGUAAAUGCGGAAAAGCAGAAAGUAACCAAAACAAACUGGUUUGUAUCUGUUUUCGCACCUCGUAAACACUCCGUUGCAAUCCGUCGUUUGGGUUCCGUCUGGUGGUGAUGGAAUGGCAUAGAAAGAGGAACCCAUAGAUGAUGAUGUUGAUGCUGAUGCAGACACAGCGCUGCUUUAUGGUUGUGUUGUGCGCAAAACGGGCGCCUCAAAACAGUGCGGCUGUGAUACAAAACACUCGCGAGAGCUGCUAGUCUCCGUGUUGUGUUGUGUUGUGUUGAGCCUCCGAGUCCGAAGAGUUGCAUAUGUUUGUGUAUUGAUUUCUAAUGUGCUGCUGCUGUCUCGAGUUGGCGAAGCUUUGCAGUAGGUGUAGACGUCCGGACUGUUCCACUGCACAAUAGCGUAUCGCGCGUAUUCGCGGUGGUGUUUCGCGUUGAUCCUGAACCACCACCCGGUCUCGGAUGACAUGUGAUAGUUUUGAGAAAAGUGAAAAAAGUGUAUUAAAAAUUGCUACCAAUGUGUAAUUGCGAUGUGGUACCGAAGGAAGUGACUUGUUUUCACGUGUUCAUACGCGAAUGUGACCUCAUGAAUACGUCAGCGUAAAUUGUGAUUGCCAAUGCUGGAAACAGUGGUUUAAAAUAUUGAAUUGUACGUGAACGAAGUAUAUUAACCCGUUGUUUCUUCCCCGGUGAAUGCAUUGGUGCUGCUUAUAAUCUAUUGCACCGAAAAACAGUGCAUAAAUUCGUUGAAAUAAGAAAUUGGUCGAACGAAAUCAACCUGUAAAAGUGGAUUUUGUCUUGGCUGUACAAGUUGACAAAAAGGUUUUCUCAUCCGCUGAUACUCACUUUAGUUUGGAUCUGUUAUCAAAAUGGCUAAACACGUGGGUGGCUUCUGUUCAUUUUCCGUGCCACUGAGUUUGCUGCCGUCGAGCUAUUCUAACUCUGCUACCACACACCCACAGUGGCAUCCAUUUUCGCCCGUCGAAGCGUUUACCAGCGGAAGCCCUGCUGUGGCAUUUUCGUGUGUUGAAAUCAUCACCACUGAAAACAAUGGCGACAACAAUGGAGCCUUCCAGACCACCGUCUCCGCCCCCACCAGCGGCGCCAUCUCCGCCGCCGGCUGUUCCGCUGCGUUCGAAGGUCUCGCCGAAGGUGCCACCGCCUUCGUACGCUGCUGUUGAUCAUCCGAGUCCUGCUGCUCCCAUCCAACCGUCGACUGUUGUUGUGGGUGGCAUUCGAGUGGCACAACAUAAAGAGAUUUUGAGCGAGAACCAUCGAAACAGCUCUCCGUCGUUCAAAGCUCUCUCGAACGAUUUGAGUGAACUGCUGGUGAAGAACCUAAGCAUAAAACGGGGUGAAACGUGUGCGGAAAGGUGCGCCAAUAACGUCGUCGGUGCCGAGGAUCCGUCGGCGGCCAACAACUGUGUUGUGGCGCUUUGUGAAAAUAGUGAAAGUGAUAGUUUGCAUUUGAUCAAUAGAAAACCCAAUCGUAACUCGCUGUGCGAUACCUUCAGUUCGGUCAAUAAGCUGAUUAAGUUGAAACGCGUCUCUAGUGAUAGUAGUGGUAACCUGAGUGGCUACACGAAAUUCCAUUCCGGUAAUAUUCACAGCAUUAAUCCACCGCCACAGGCGAAAUUUAAGCGAGUCGAAAUAAGUGUCCAGCAGCUCCCGAGUGAAUGCGUCGCCCCACGGAAGAAUAUCAUUGUGAAUCAGUUCGAGCAGUUAGUGCCGGAUGAAAGUGAUAGUGUUCAUUUGCUGCUAGAAAGUAAGCCCGGGUCGCGACGAUCACUCACUACCGAAGAUCAACAGCACCAACAGCAGUGUCUUACAGAAGAACAAGGUGAAUUAGCGAAGAAAAUAGUGGAUUCGGAAAAUUGUGAUAAUUUAGCGGUUAAGGUUCGUCGCCGAGUUCAUCAUCCGUCGAGGGGUGGGACUCGAGGUGCGGUAUCCACACUGGAGUCGGUGGAGGAAGAGCACUACAAACGAAGGAGCUUGCAGUGGCCUUUGGGACUGAGUGAUUGGGGUGGGAGUGGUAUUGAAACAGCUACGACCAUCAUUGCCGACGAAGCCGACGUUGACGGAGUGGGCGAGGAACGGAAACGGAAGCAUCCUUUCAGACACUCGUGGAACGCACCCGGGUACGAUCUGCUACUGGAGGAGGAGCGGAGAACGGAUUCGAGGAAGGACUUUGCAUCUAUCGUGCACAACCUGGCUGGACUAAGGAGCACCCUCACCAAUGGGGGAACCCAGGAAUCUGCUUCGCUGCUGGAGCCCCCGAUCGGUGGUCCUAAACCGUCGAUGGUGCCCGGUGGCGGCGGCGGCGGCGGUGGUGGCAAUGGAGGUGUUGACCGGAGUGGACGUCGAUCGACGGCCAGCUGCGUGCCAUCCUCACCGGUAGUUCCAUCGGUGGAGGCUUCCCAUACCGUUUCGCUGGGAGGCCCAGUGCCAAGGAAACGACGGCUGGAAGCAUUCUUAAAAAGUCUAGUCGGAAGGAGACCAUCUAAGGAACCUCUCUCGACAACAACAUCACCACCACCGGUACUUCCAAUUCCUCCUCAGUCAACGACAGCGCUAGCAACCCCUCCGUUGCUACCAUCGCCCGAGAUUAAGAUUAGUCUGAGCCCUUCCGAACACAAUUUGGUCGAGAUGACGCGAAGUCGACUGAACAUUUCCACCACUUCGCUCAGCUCGGUGCACCAGAAACUGUGGUCGGUUGUUCCUCUGCUAAAGAAGGAUGUCAGCUGCAACAGCUUGGCGUCUCCAAAAUCUGUACCCUUGCUGGGUUCGCAAUCCACGGCUGGUCUCCGAAAGUGCGAAACAGUCCUCGCUUUGACCAACUCCACCCAGGUGGUGGAACCCAUCAAACCCCAGAAUCGAUUGCGUAAUUGUGAUUCGGUAGCCACGUGCUCCCGUUGUUCUAGUCUUUUAUCGCUCGCAGCUGUCGGUUCGCGAUAUUCCCUAAACCUAUCCAAUGGAGGAUUCGUGGCGGUGAAUGGCACCGCCAACACGGUUGGUCUGAUCCAACCGAAUACCACCGGACAAAGCAAGCAUGUCGGCAGCUUGCUGCGACUAACGAAAACUUCGUCCGGAUCGUCCUCGUCUUCUUCGUCGCCCUGCGCUUCCUCAUCGUACCCAUCGGCCUCCAGCAAUUCCACCGGCACUUCCUCGUCCAGUAGUAGUGGUAGUAGGGUCUCGGUCACAUCGAAAGCUGCCAUGCUAGCGCCACCGAGUCCUACGUUCGUGAGCGGGGUUCCGCUGGUGGCUCUGGUACCCGCGGCGAGUAGCGCACUGAAUCCGAUAGUGAAGUUUACCUGUAAGCUGUGCCUGGGCGAAUAUAGUGCCGAGAACCUUACGCGAAUAUCGCAAUGUGACUGUUCGUUCUGCACGGAGUGUAUGACGGCGUACAUCGAGUUCGAGAUCUCCGAGGGUGCCUACGAAGUUUCGUGUCCGGAUGCGAUGUGCCCUGCCCAGGGCAUCAUUACGAUAGGCGAGAUUGCAACGCUGGCAUCACCCUCACUGGUGGAGAAACACCACCGUUAUCGACUGAAUAGAGAAGUGGAACUGGAUAAAUUCCGCACCUGGUGCCCGAAGGCGGGCUGCGAAACGAUCUGUCUCGUCGGCCAGCAUCAUUCCCAGCAGAGCAGCAAUUUGUCUUCCGAUAGAAUAGUCCAGCUGCAGCAGCCAUCUUCGUCGAAUCUUUCGUCGCCUUGUGCGGUGCACUGUCCCACCUGUCGGGAGGACUUCUGUUCCGGCUGCAAGAAAGCAUGGCACCCCACGAUGUCCUGCGAGGAAAACUCGCGUCGACUGGCCGCCGAUGGUCAGACCGACGCCUUCGGUAUACCGUUCGACAAUGAUCUCAUCAAGUGCUGUCCGAUGUGUACCGUUCCGAUCGAGAAGGACGAAGGUUGUGCGCAGAUGAUGUGCAAACGGUGCAAACAUGUCUUCUGCUGGUACUGUCUGGCAAGUUUGGACGACGAUUUCUUGCUACGUCACUACGACAAGGGACCCUGCAAGAACAAACUGGGCCACUCGCGGGCGUCCGUCGUUUGGCAUCGUGCACAGGUGAUCGGUAUCUUUGCCGGGUUCGGAAUUUUGCUACUCGUGGCCUCUCCGCUGCUACUGCUGGCAGCACCGUGUAUCGUUUGCUGCAAGUGUAGAAUCUGCAGCGGAGCCGCGAAGCUGGAGGAAACCGAGGUAGACUAUGACGAUGCGGCCGUGGCGCUGCAGAGCAGCCGAUAAGGUCGAGUGUGUAAAUCUUAGAAUGUGUUCGAUCAAAGGUUGCCUUAAAUGACUUCUGGGUGAGAAGCAUGCUCGCAUAAGAUUUCUUGUCCUGUUUCGAGGUGCGGUGGUUCUUCGCGCUGAGUAUUGUGGUGAUUCGGAUUACGAGUAAACCCAUUUCGAAGGAGAGGAAGGCGGCAGCAUCAAAGGUGUAACAACAAAACGCGGAUAACAAGACGAUAAAAACAGUAACAGAAAACAAAUAUGUAGAUAAGAAAAUUUUCUGCGAAGCGAGUUGUGUACACUUAGACGAUAGAUAGCGAUACAUCACCUCAAAUCACGUAGAUCCAGUCUAACCCUAGCAAAGUGGUUCGAAUAUCUCUUAAAACAAAAAAUAUUUACUCCGCCGCAACAAACAAAAAUCCUUAUAUCGUAAUCGCAUAUUCAGCGUAAACUUUAUCAAUCACGCUAUCGUUACUGUUGAAUUGAUCAAGCAGGACAGAGAGAGAUUUGUCCAUUUCCGCGUCCCGUGUGUUAAAAAUAACGUUUGCUUCCUUGCCCGCUCGUUUGUUGAAUAUUUGUAUGCAAAAACGUUGCAACGAAAACGUAAACUUAAUAUAAAUUAUACACCCUUAGUCAUUAUUUCUGUUACGAAACUAUUUUAAUUCCUGUUUAGCUUCUACAUACGUUGUAAGAUGAAAAUGAUCGAUGAUGAAAGAGAGAGAGAGAAGGAGAAUGAACACAUUAAACGUGUACAAAACAAAUCUCUUGUUCGAAACAAUCGCAAACAAAGAGAGGGCUGUCGAAGCUGAAUUUGUUCAUAAAAUGCUUCUCUCAAUAUGUUUUUGUAGUCUAGAGGAGCGAGAGGGAGCGAAAGUAUAGGAAUAUAACCUAGAGCACGAGAUAAAUAUUUAAGCAGAUUUAAGGUUGAAGCAGCCAGGAUUAGAAAAACCGUAUUAAUGUCUUUGUAAAAGUGUGCCGACGCGUAGUUAGAUUCGGCAGAUAUAAAAUGCCGCAAGUGUAGUAGGUUCUACCGUUAACAUGAAUGACGAUUAUAUUAAAUAUUAUUUAAUGAUGUUAGCAUAGGUAAAUGAAAGAAAAAAUGUAAUAUGAUCGAAUAAAUAUAUAA